rnacentral:lncRNA from 1 species
AUGGUCCCGGCGGGGCCGCCCCGCUCCUGCCUCCUGCUGACGGCCGCGCUGCUGCCGCUGCUGCCGGUACCGGCACCGGGGGCAACCCCGGGGCCCCCCGCGCUCACCGACGCCGAGAUCGAGGAGUUCCUGCGGGGCUUCCUUGGACCCGGGGACGGCGGGGACCGGGACGGGGACCGGGACGGGGACCGGGACGGGGACGGUACUGAGCUGGGCUUCGGCACCGACCUGGGCACCGGCACCGGCACCGGCACGGGCUCUCCGGAGUCUCUGCCGGAGCCUGAGAAACCCAGGAAGGGGAAGAAGGAAAAACCCCCCAAGAAGCCCAAGGAGAGACCCCGGGGCCCCAAGAAGGAUAAGGACAGGGACAAGGUCAAGGACAAAGACCGGGGCAAGAACAAACCCCCCAAGAAAUCCAAGGAGAAGCCGCCGAAAGGCUCAGAAAACCCAUCAAAAGGCUCUGAAAAACCCCCAAAAGGCUCCAAAAAGCCCAAGGAGAAGCCGCCCAAGGAGAAGCCACCCAAGGCCACCAAAUCCUCUGGCAAGAAACCACCGGUGCCACCAAGCCCCCCUACUGUCCGCCAGUCCUCACAGGGCAAGGAGAAUGAAGAGAUCCCCGAGUUCCUGGAGCCUUCUCACAAGGAGGAGGAGGAGGAGGAGGAUGGAGGUGUCCGAGGAGAGCUGGAAGAGCCACCAAAUGAGCGCUGGGGGCCGGGCGGGGAGGACUGGAACCCUGAGCCCCAGCCAGAGGUCCCCGAGGAGCCGGAGCCCCCGACCCUGGACUACAACGAGCAGCUGGAGCGGGAGGACUACGAGGACUGUACGGAGCCGGGCGCUGCCCACGGGGAGGGAUGGGGGGCACGUCCCCCCCGCCCUCAGCACAAAGCCAGCGCCACCCUCUGUGUCCCCAGUCGAGUUCGUCCGGCGGCAGCGGAAGCCCCCCAAGCCCCCGGGCAGGAGGAGACCCGAGCGGGUCUGGCCCCAGCCCGAGGAGACACGUACGUGGCAGGAUGGGGACACGGGGGGCUGGCACUGCUCGGGGUGAGGCUGGGGGGCAGCCCCCAGCCUUGGGAACCAGGGAAGCAGCGUUUUGGGGCAGCCUGGAGCUGGGGUGAGCAUGGGGACAGCAUAAGGGACCCUGUAGGGGCGUGGGGCUCUCUUGGUGGCACACGGGGGUCCUGUAGGGACACAGAGAACCCUGCAGGGACAUGGAGCUCCCAUUGGAGCUUGAGGGACUCCUGGCUAGACACUUGUGGGGAUCUCCUGGGGGCACGGCCAUCCCAGUUACAGGGAUACAGAGGGGUCUGA